rnacentral:rRNA from 1 species
AGAUUGAACGCUGGCGGCAUGCCUUACACAUGCAAGUCGAACGGCAGCACGGACUUCGGUCUGGUGGCGAGUGGCGAACGGGUGAGUAAUAUAUCGGAACAUACCCAGUAGUGGGGGAUAACUAUCCGAAAGGAUAGCUAAUACCGCAUACGAUCUGUGGAUGAAAGCAGGGGAUCUUCGGACCUUGUGCUAUUGGAAUGGCCGAUAUCUGAUUAGCUAGUUGGUAGGGUAAAAGCCUACCAAGGCGACGAUCAGUAGCUGGUCUGAGAGGACGACCAGCCACACUGGAACUGAGACACGGUCCAGACUCCUACGGGAGGCAGCAGUGGGGAAUUUUGGACAAUGGGGGCAACCCUGAUCCAGCAAUGCCGCGUGGGUGAAGAAGGCCCUGGGUUGUAAAGCUCGUUUUGUCGAGGAAGAAACGGAGUUCUCUAAUAUAGGAUUCUAAUGACGUACCUGAAGAAUAAGCACCGCUAACUACGU